GUGAAGCGGCAACAGCUCAAAUUUGAAAUCUGGCGCAAGCCCGAGUUGUAAUUUGUAGAGGAUGCUUCUGGGUAGCGACCGGUCUAAGUUCCUUGGAACAGGACGUCAUAGAGGGUGAGAAUCCCGUAUGUGACCGGCCCGCACCCUUUACGUAGCUCCUUCGACGAGUCGAGUUGUUUGGGAAUGCAGCUCUAAAUGGGAGGUAAAUUUCUUCUAAAGCUAAAUACCGGCCAGAGACCGAUAGCGCACAAGUAGAGUGAUCGAAAGAUGAAAAGUACUUUGGAAAGAGAGUUAAAAAGCACGUGAAAUUGUUGAAAGGGAAGCGCCUGCAAUCAGACUUCGCGGCAGUGUUCCGCCGGCCUUCUGGCCGGUUCAUUCUCUGUCGCGAGGCCAUCAUCGUCUCGGCCCGCUGGAUAAGACCUUGGGAAUGUAGCUCACCUUCGGGGGAGUGUUAUAGCUCAUGGUGAUGCAGCGAGGCUGGGGCGAGGUCCGCGCUUCGGCAAGGAUGAUGGCGUAAUGGUUGUCGGCGGCCCGUCUUGAAACACGGACCAAGGAGUCUAACAUCUAUGCGAGUGUUCGGGUGUCAAACCCCUACGCGUAAUGAAAGUGAACGGAGGUGGGAACCGCAAGGUGCACCAUCGACCGAUCCUGAUGUCCUCGGAUGGAUUUGAGUAAGAGCAUAGCUGUUGGGACCCGAAAGAUGGUGAACUAUGCCUGAAUAGGGUGAAGCCAGAGGAAACUCUGGUGGAGGCUCGCAGCGGUUUCUGACGUGCAAAUCGAUCGUCAAAUUUGGGUAUAGGG
rnacentral:rRNA from 1 species